AUUGAACGCUGGCGGCAGGCCUAACACAUGCAAGUCGAACGAGUGGCGGACGGGUGAGUAAUGGCUGGGAAACUGCCUGAUGGAGGGGGAUAACUACUGGAAACGGUAGCUAAUACCGCAUACCAUCAGAUGUGCCCAGAUGGGAUUAGCUCGUUGGUGGGGUAACGGCUCACCAAGGCGACGAUCCCUAGCUGGUCUGAGAGGAUGACCCGCCAACAUGGAACUGAGACACGGUCCAGACGCCUACGGGAGGCAGCAGUGGGGAAUAUUGCGUAAUGGGCGCACGCCUGAUGCAGCCAUGCCGCGUGUAUGAAGAAGGCCUUCGGUUUGUAAAGUACUUUCAGCGGGGCGGCGGUACCCGCAGAAGAAGCACCGGCUAACUCCGUGCCAGCCGCCGCGGUAAUAC
rnacentral:rRNA from 1 species